rnacentral:rRNA from 1 species
UACGUAGGGGGCAAGCGUUUGUCCGGAUUUAUUGGGCGUAAAGAGCGUGUAGGCGGCCAGGUAGGUCUGCUGUGAAAACUCGAGGCUUAACCUCGAGCUGUCGGCGGAAACCAUCUGGCUAGAGUCCGGAAGAGGAGAAUGGAAUUCCCGGUGUAGCGGUGAAAUGCGCAGAUAUCGGGAAGAACACCCGUGGCGAAGGCGGUUCUCUGGGACGGU